rnacentral:rRNA from 1 species
AUUGAACGCUGGCGGCAGGCCUAACACAUGCAAGUCGAACGGUAACAGGAAGCAGCUUGCUGCUUUGCUGACGAGUGGCGGACGGGUGAGUAAUGUCUGGGAAACUGCCUGAUGGAGGGGGAUAACUACUGGAAACGGUAGCUAAUACCGCAUAACGUCGCAAGCCCAAAGAGGGGGACCUUCGGGCCUCUUGCCAUCGGCUGUGCCCAGAUGGGAUUAGCUAGUAGGUGGGGUAACGGCUCACCUAGGCGACGAUCCCUAGCUGGUCUGAGAGGAUGACCAGCCACACUGGAACUGAGACACGGUCCAGACUCCUACGGGAGGCAGCAGUGGGGAAUAUUGCACAAUGGGCGCAAGCCUGAUGCAGCCAUGCCGCGUGUAUGAAGAAGGCCUUCGGGUUGUAAAGUACUUUCAGCGGGGAGGAAGGGAGUAAAGUUAAUACCUUUGCUCAUUGACGUUACCCGCAGAAGAAGCACCGGCUAACUCCGUG